rnacentral:rRNA from 1 species
UACGUAGGGUGCGAGCGUUGUCCGGAAUUAUUGGGCGUAAAGAGCUCGUAGGCGGUGUGUCACGUCGGCCGUGAAAACUUGCAGCUUAACUGUGGGCGUGCGGUCGAUACGGGGCAGACUAGAGUUCGGUAGGGGAGUCUGGGAAUUCCUGGUGUAGCGGUGAAAUACGCAGGAUAUCAGGAGGAACACCGGUGGCGAAGGCGGGACUCUGGGCCGAUGACUGACGUG